CACAGCAAGCGAGCCAGAGGGAAGUGUUUAUCUCCAAAGAGCUUGAGCAAGUGGUCGACAUCUCACAGCCCAAAGAGGCAGAAUCUGUGUUGUAACCUGGGAUCCCCGGCUCUAAAAUGUGUGCUCUCUCCAGAGUGCAAGCUGCCAUGGUUGGGAACGGCUUCUUUCCUGUGCCGUCUGCAACGCGGCAGCAGCCAGAGCCCUGCUGACUCUCUAGGUCUGCAGGGUGAUCCGCUGCGUGUUUCCUGGUCAAAGGCAGCACCCCUGGGAGGUAGCAGGGUGCAGAGGUGCUGCCCCUCCGUGCAGGCGACAAUCUCCACUCCAGCUGGCAGCUUGGGCACCGCUAAUAGGAUGCAGCACUUUAGCAGCAGCUGGAUCCUCGGGGCUCCAGCGGUGCUUCUCAGAUGUCAACAGAGAGCAGUGCUCAGGCACUGGCUCCAGGGACACAAGUCGACCCUCCUGUUGCCACCAAAAGCCUUGCUUCUCUUGUGUUUUCUGAUGAAGCUGUGCAGGGAACUUCUUUUUCCUGCAAGGGUUUGUCUUCAGCACCUCCUGACCCACCUCUAAUGGUUUUUCCUAUUGCCUCAGGGGUCCUGGAGGAAGCACCCCAUUCCUGUUUCCCAUCUCCCACCUGGUCCAGCCAAGAGGAAGAAUUCAGGCACGGGGCAGAAGACUCUGGGAAGAGUAAGAUUAUUUAAGCCUUAGUAGCACGAAGGGAAACACUUGUUGACCAACAGGUUUGUCAUCAAGUCCUUGAAGAAUUCAUGCCAUGACAACGGUGUCAAUGCCAGCAAUGAGCAGACGUGGCAACCACAUCUGUUGCUUGAUGGUUUGCUCUGUGCUACUUAUACCGAGAGCCUUCUUUUUCAGGGGGCUUAGUGGGUGAUGGCUUUGCGUGAGGCUGACUUGGGUUCAGAGGAAGGACAGGAACGUUUGUGGCCCUAGAUAGUUCUCCUUGGCUCACACUGGAGUUUCUCCUUCCUUUUCUAGAUUCUGGCCUCAAAGGCCUGAUGCAAGUGAAAUAGAAAUCAGCUGACGAUUGACGUUUACUAACUGACUUUCCUUUGUGCACCUACUACAUCCCAGCAACGUGGUGGAUAGUUAAGGCAAGGCCCCUGCCUUCAAGGAGCAGACCGUACAGCAGAGACAAGGACGUCUGUGGGUAACUUUGGAAAGGGUAGGUUUCUGGGUUCUCCCGAAGGCUUCCUGGAGGGGGUGGUCCCCAAGGCUGGCCUGCUGAGAUGCUGAGUGGGUGAUGCCAGCAGCAGUGGUAAGAGAAGGACGUGGAGGGAAAGCUCACGGUGGGUCAUCGGGUGUCGGGGUCUGGGCUCCCGGCAGCUGCAGGUUGUAUGCUGGGGAGGGGCGUUACCUGCCUGCAGCUUCCAGCAGGUCACCCUUCCUAUCUGUGCAGAGAGCCUGUGUCGCCUUCCCCGGGCUUGCAGACCAAAUUCUCCAGACAAAGUACCCGGCCAGGCGAGGCCAAUGUGAAUUUGACCUGCCUUUUAUCAGAAUGUGCCUGCCAUUCUCAAGGUCAAAACUAUUGCCCUCAUGGUCCCUGUGUGUCACCUUAUAAACAGUCUCCCCGGGCCCAGGGCUGCCAAAGUGCUGUGCAAUGUUAUUACACUGCUCUGAAACCCCAUCCAAUGAUCCAGCCACGCUUUCCUCCUCCUGGCUGUGAUGCUGCCUUCCCUGUUGCCCUGGUGCCUGAUGCUGCUAUAUAAAAGCAGGCACAGAUGUCUGGCGGGUACCGGAGCCUUGCAGGCUGCAACAUGCCAGCCACAUCAAAACACUGGUGGGUGAAGUACUGGGGCCUGUGAGGGGGCAAGGAGAGGUAGACUCCCUGCUCUGGAGAUCAGAGCCAUUCCCGGCAUCAGUAAACUGGGGAAGAUGCAGCCUGGGGGCAGAGGCAGGAGAGGGGGUCUUCCUGCCUCUGGAUCUUUUGCUCAGGGAGUUUUCGUACUCAGGCAUUGUCGUUUGGGGGAUGUGCUCAGGGGAGGGGAACUGAAAGCUGAGGAUGCUGUAACUCACAACCCAGAGUGUCCAGGCUUUCCUCCACCUAUAUGUCCCUGCUAUUACCCCUGAGUUUUUUGUUUUUUUUUAAAUAGAGCCUUAUUCCAAUACAAGGACCAGUCUGCCUCAGUUGAGCUACAGGGUCUAAGUAAAAGGAAACGCUGCUUUGUCUGUGUUCCUGGGGCCAGAGUAUAAAAAAUGGAGCCCCUGUCUCCCCAGCCCAGGAUGGUGACAGCAGUGGGAGUCAGCAAGAAGCCCUAAAGGGGUGGGGGGAGGGCGCAUCUGGGGAGACAAGGGUCUGCUGAGCAACAUGAAGUCGCCACUGUCCACAUGCGGACACUCCUCUGAGAGAGGGAACCUUGUCAGCUUGCGCUGUGUGGGGUUUGGGGCUUGCUCAGGAGGCAGCAAAUAUCCCCACGGCACAGAGUGAGGAAAGGGAACCACCGCUCCCUCCCCACACCCUGUGCCCACCGCCUCCUGAGGACCUGAGGGUUUCUAAGAAAAUGGAAUUCAAGAGAGACAGGAAGAAGGGGAGGAGAAGAUCCAGUCCGGCUGCUGUGCCUGGUUCUGGGGAGGAUGCUGGUGCUCGGUACCCGUCCGCUUCUCAGGCUGGGGUAGCGGGGGUGCUGGAGAGGUGUCUGGUUCAGCAGGCGUCAACAGAAGCUCAGACUUGAGACAAUGCCAAGACCACGGAAAGGAGCUCAGCAGGUUUGCUCUUCCCGGGAGGAGGAGAAAGCCUGCCCUGGAAAUAGCUGGUGUGGCUUCAGCUCACUGGGAGAGGAGACCCAACUAUUUAACUUCUGAUUUGCACCUGUCCCUUUAUCAAGCCCACUGAUCUUCACAUUGAAAGGAGAACAAGUUUAAGAGGAAACGGAAGCUGAGGAGGAGAGGAGGCGGGUGUUACCCAAGAGUGAGAUAGCGUCCCUGCUCUGACCAAGGUCGGGGUCCAGGCUCUGGAGGCCCUCACACCCCACCGGGAGAGGGACGGACUGGAGCUCUCCUAUCCGUGUGUGCACAGGACUGCGCUCAGCCUCUGGGGUUUGUGUGAUGUCCGGGUCAGUGUGUGGAGCUGGUGUCAAGGCCUUUUAUGCCGUGGCCGUUCCCAGCUGAUGGCCCUCUCCUUCAUCUUACUCUGUCCAGCUAGGUCGAGCGACACCUCGGAGGUGGGAUUUGUCCUCAUGGGCAGUUCUGCAGCUCUGUCCCCGAUCCCUACCCAGAUCCAGCCCAUAUUCUAAGCCUCAGGCUCCCCAGGCUUGGCUGGGCUCAGAGGUCCCCAGACACAGUCUAUUCCCAAGGCCCCAUGUUUCUCCAUCCUCCUGAGAGGGGCUCUGCCUACUCAGAACUCACUCCUCGACUCCCCUCUGGACUCUUACAUGUGCUUCAGCAGCUCACACAGGGGUGACUCUCUGACCUCUGAUCCCUACAGCAAAAGAGUGCCUGAUCCCCAGGGCGGACACACAUGGCAAGCCUGGCACGGAACGAGGGUUCAGUAUGGCGGGUCCUCCAGGGAAACAACAUCCUUCACGUCUCUGUUUCUCUUUCAGGGCUAAAGGGAGACUGGGAGCCUGGCAGCAUUUGGGAGGAAUUUGCUAAAUUAUGGAUAAAGAAGGAACAGAUAAAUUACUCACCAUCCACUGCGUACAAGACGCAAGGCCCUAAGGAGGGAAGGAAUUAAACACCCUUAGGAGUCUUACUUGUCUUCUCAAAUGGCACGUUACCCAUGCUUCCCAUCUCGAGGUAGGAUGACAUCCAUGGCAUAGGGCAGACUUUCACAGGCAAGUUACCCCACGUCUUGGAGCCUCCUUUCCUCUCUCUGUUACACAGAGAUAGUAAACCCCCAGCCUAACAAGACUGACAGCUGAGGCCCUGGUCCUCAAACUUGAUUGUGCAUCAGAAGUGCCUGGGGCAUGGGAUCUGUUCCAUCCCAGCUUCCUGGGUCACUCCCCCCGCCGCCCAGAUUCUGAGUCAGCAGGUCUGGGUUGAACGCGAGAUUCUGCAUUUCUCACAUGUUCCCAGGCAAUGCUGCUGGUGCGGGAGCCUCCCUCUGAGAACCGCUGAGCUCAUGACCGUAAGUGCUGCUUAUAGAGCACGAGGUUCCAUUCAAACACUGUUACACACCUCCCUUUGCAAGGGUGUGAUAUUAGGCUUCAGCAACUAGAACUGGGGGGGCCUGGUACCCCCUCAGCAACGCAAACAAGCAGCCACCGUCACAGCUGAUCUGGUCACGGCCUGAGCUCAGCACCCUUUCUUUCAGGACCAGAUGAUGCAGCUGGAGACCUGGCACAGUAACACACUCUGAGAAUUUGUCACCUCUGCUGGCUCCCCUGCCUGGCUGGGCGAGGGGACAGGGACACUGUGGCAGGGUCUGGUAGCUGCCCGCACCCUCUGACCAAUGACCUGUUAGGAGACUGCAGCCUUGCUCUCUGGAAAUUCUGAAAGGGCCCUCAGCUGCCCUGGAUGCCCACGUGUGCACUUAAUGCACUGAGACCCAGGGAAGGAAAAAGAGCCACUGUUGAUUCAGCGGAGUACACCUGGGCUCUCAUGAUGCGGCAGGAAAGCGCUUCUCCAAAGGAAGGUGUCUGGGGCACCAAAAUGGCAAAGGAAGGAAGUGGAUUCUUGGAGAUAUGGGGCUGGCCAAAAAGUUUGUUCGGGGUUUCCCAUAAGAUGGUACGGGAAAAACCCAAACGAACUUUUUGGCCAGCCCAAUAUGUUGAGGCACCAGAAAAGGCACUGUGUAUCUCAGUCAGCAUCGCUGGGCUUCCCAGAUCUCAGCUCCACCAGAACCGGCUAAAGCUCAGAAGACUCUGGACAUGCUUUCUCCAGCCCCAGCUCCAUCCGGAUGUGGGAAGACCGAGAGUACACAGAAAGCUCCCCUGCCUACUGUGUUGACACAGCUUCGGUCAAAGUGGGAUUCUCACAAAUGGGCAACUUUCAUUCUCUCAUACGCUCUAUGGCCAAUGUAUCACCCUGAGCCUCAAACACUCCAUUUCUAGUCAUUGAUCCAGAGAAAUCAUCUGAAACAGGAACAAAAAUUCAUUCUUGGCAAAGUGUAUUGCCAUUGGGUUUAAACUGGAAAAUAAAAGAGGACAGUCUAAAUGCUCCACGUUGAGAAACUCGUUCUGUCAAUUACGAUACACACACAGGACAGAAUGUUCUGCAGUUACUGAAGGCAAGGGUGGGAAUUCUGAGCGACAGGAGGAAAUGCUUACAGUAUGAUUUAAUGGAAAGGAACAGGACUCUAAAUAUAAACUAUGUUAAACAUACAAAAAAAAGGCUUAGGAAAAGGAAUGAAAGGAAAUAUACUUUCCUGAGAUGGUGGCUUUUGGGUGGUUAUGGGUGGGGGCUAGGUUAUGGGGGUAUUGUUUUCUUCUGCUAUACAGUUUUCACACACAUCCACACCCACAUAUACAUUAAUGCACACACAUGGCCUCCCGUGACCCGCAGCCCUGCCAGUGACCCCCCUGGGCUGACGCAGGGGCUCCUCUAAGGCACGGUCCCCAGCCUUCACUGGCGGGCCUGUGAGCAUCUCUGGUUGGUGACAGUUAUGUCCCAGCCAGGGCCAAGUGUGUGGCUGGUGGGUAGGAUCCAGGUAUGAUGGAGAAGACAGUUCUGUAAGGAGAAGCUGUGCCUCCCAGUGAGAUUCGGAAGCCCAGGAAAUGGGCCAGCAAUGCUCUUUUCAGUCCUCAUUUCAGGCUGGGGGACCAGCGUGGCGACCAAGAACUUGACCUCUCCAGCUUAGGGAACAGCAGAGGCCAAGGUUCUAAAGCCUCUCCCUGGGAGCACCCUGGACAUCUGGCUGCUAUGACACUUUAUCUGAAGAGAAUGUCACCUCCUCCACAGCCCUGUGAAAGCAGGACCAGCCCCCUGCUAGAUCUGUGUUUGUGCCUUUGUUUGUUCUCCCAUUCACACCCCAAGGCUCGGCGCUCCCCUGGCCUCCACUUCUCCAGGGACCAUAUUGCCUGGGGCUCUCUUCCCUCUGGAAACCCUCCUUUCUGGAUAUGGAUAAUGAUGUAAUUGCCACCAUUUGGGGGCUUGCUUCAUAAGUGCAUGUAUUGGUGCGAUUUCUUAUAAGAACCUCCGAGGUAGAUGCUAUAAUGCCUAUCGCUUUACAGUGGAGGAAACUGGAACUUGCCCAAGGUCACACAAUGGUGACAGGAGAGACUGGGAUGGGGUCUGACCCAGAGAGAAGACGGCCGGCUAUGAACCAGCAGGUGGGCCCCCCACCAGACACCACGUCUGCUGGUGCUUUGAUCUUGGACUUCCCAGCCUCCAGAACUGUGAGAAAUACACAUCUGUUGUUUUAGCCCCCAGUCUGUGGUAUUCAUUAUAUCAUCCAGAAAGGACUACUAAGGGCUGAAAUAAGGGAGCCCUGCAGACAUCGGAAUGAGGAGUGUCCCAAGCAGACACCAGCCAGGGGAUGUGCUCCUGGGUGACCCAGGGACCGUGUGGUUGCUGCAGAGUGAGUGAGGGGCAGAGUGUAGAAGGGGCAGUGACGGCACGACAGGCUGGACCCUACGGGCCUCUGCGAGGGAUGGGAGGCCAGGGCGGGGGUCCAGAGGGAACUGUAUGAACUGUGUGUGCUUGAGGCCCGUCACUCUGGCUGCUGUGCUGAGUGAGGACAGACCCUGGGUGAGGAUGGGAGAGGUUAGGACCAUGGUCCAGGCAAGUGCUUGGACCAGAACCAUGGUGGUACAGGUGAUGAGGGACAGGGAGAUUUUAGAUAUAUCGGGACUGUGGGGCAACUUGGGCUUGCUGACGGAUUAGAUGUGGAGUGUGCAAAUAAAGAAAAAAAAAAUAGAAGAGUCAAAGUUUGGGCCUGAGCAGGAAGGAUGGAGUUGUGGUUCACUAGAAGGGGGGCCCGGGGGCAAGGUCUGGUGGGGGGCGACAUCAGUGCUGGCUGAGGGUGUGUUAUGCUCAGGGAGCCUGUUAGAUGAGAAGUGCACAAAGGUUAGUUUCGAAGACUAGUUAAUAAAUCUAUUUUCUUUUUCUUUGCACAGAAGCUGGUAAUCUAGGACCUACGUGUGAACAACUUUAUAUAUGAAUAUUUUUAGUGCUUGGUUUACUUGGGUUGGUAUGAUAUAUUAUAGUUAAGUUCCUUGAACACUGUGGAUUCCCCUAAUGUGUAUGAAUGACUGAGGCUUUGUAGAUCAAGGGACUUUUCCUCCCUUGCUUGGGGAGAGUUCAGGGAGAGGUGAGGGCUGAGGGAGGGGCUGGGCGGAGGCAGUCUCCAGCAUCUUGAUGGUAUUCACAGAGCCCCGCGAGUGUGAAUGAAGGAGAGGACCCAGAGCUGAGCCCUGGAGCUUGGACACGUGGAGCCCAGGACGAAGCAGGCAGAGAGCCAGGAGGAGCCCAGGGGGAGCGGUACCUGGGAAACAGGGCCACCCACCCCUGCAGAGGCUGGGCGGCCCCAUCACAGCUUUCCUCCUGCUCUGUCUACAGCUGCCCGGUUCUCCCCGGGGCCUGUGUAUGUACUAGACUCCACCUUGUCACACACUAUAUACAUCACCACUGAGACCUCGCCCCUCUCUCCUGCGUCAUCAAAUCGCCCCCCCCCCCCAGCAGA